CUUGAAAAGUGCGUUUUCAAAUUUGCAAUUUGACGUGUCAUCACUACGAAGCU
rnacentral:tRNA from 1 species